rnacentral:rRNA from 1 species
AACGAACGCUGGCGGCAGGCCUAACACAUGCAAGUCGAACGCCCUGGCAACAGGGAGUGGCAGACGGGUGAGUAACGCGUGGGAACGUGCCCUUCGGUUCGGAAUAACUCAGGGAAACUUGAGCUAAUACCGGAUACGUGCGAGAGCAGAAAGAUUUAUCGCCGAAGGAUCGGCCCGCGUCCGAUUAGCUAGUUGGUGAGGUAACGGCUCACCAAGGCGACGAUCGGUAGCUGGUCUGAGAGGAUGAUCAGCCACACUGGGACUGAGACACGGCCCAGACUCCUACGGGAGGCAGCAGAGGGGAAGAUUGGACAAUGGGCGCAAGCCUGAUCCAGCCAUGCCGCGUGAGUGAUGAAGGCCCUAGGGUUGUAAAGCUCUUUCGCCAGGGACGAUAAUGACGGUACCUGGAUAAGAAGCCCCGGCUAACUUCGUGCCAGCAGCCGCCGUAA